rnacentral:rRNA from 1 species
GGAGGAAGGUGGGGAGUGACGUCAAAUCAUCAUGGCCCUUAUGUCCAGGGCUACACACGUGACACAAUGGUACAGACAGAGGGCUGCAAGACCGUAAGGUGGAGCCAAUCCCUAAACUGUAUCCCAGUUCAGAUCGAGGGCUGCAAUUCGCCCUCGUGAAGUUGGAAUCGCUAGUAAUCGCAGAUCAGCAGGCUGCGGUGAAUACGUUCCCGGGCCUU